UUUUUUCUUCAUAUCUACUAAGAAUCUAUUGCAGAAUAUACUGUUAUUUUAUACUAUAAACUUAUUCUCUCCUCCUCUUCUACAUUUAAUUUCUCUGAAUUUCUAAUUACGUUUAAUAACAAUGUUUAAUUCGAAGACAUUAUUGACAAUGUGAGUUGUCUACAACGAUAAUAAUGAAUGAAAGGCAUUAUCACAUGAAAAAUAAAUUUAUGAUAAUUGAUUUAUUGCAAUUUUCUUCUUCUUCUUCUUCUUUAUUUUUCGGGUGAUAAUGGUGAUAUCUGGGAUGAAAUGAUCUCUUUAUGUGUUGGUCCAUUAUUGUAAUGUAAGACCAUAAUUAUUAGCUAAAUCAAGUAUUUUGUCAGGGGGAAAAAAAAUCAAUAGACUUAACGAUCUAAUUUAGUUGACGUUUUCAUCGGAUAAGACUAGAAAUUUUUCAAAGAGAAAACAGAGAAAGAAUCCAAACUUAGAAUCGGCAAGUCAGUUGUUCCAAAUAAGAAAUGGACAUAGCAAGAAGACUGCAGUAUGAUGAAGCCAGAAUUGAUCGAUAAAAACUUACAGUUUUCAAGAUGGCCGAGAAACUAAGAUCUACAUGACGAAUGGAGUUAUAUUCUUAAUAUACUGGAAGGCGGUGAGAUCGUUCAGAAAUGCGAUUUAAGAACCACUUAGAGUUUGGGAAUACAUUGAUCUAAAUUGACACGAGAUUAAUAAAUCUGUCUCAGUUCUUAAACUAAACUUGAAGAGAGGAAAACUUAACAAAGCAAGUAAUUACCAAGAUACAUGAUUUAUCAGAUGAAAACGUUUCAUUCAUUUU